rnacentral:rRNA from 1 species
AGGACGAACGCUGGCGGCGUGCUUAACACAUGCAAGUCAAGGGGGCCCGCAAGGGCAACCGGCGAACGGGUGCGUAACACGUGAGCAACCUGCCCAUCUGUGGGGGAUAGCCGGUCCAACGACCGGGUAAUACCGCAUACGUUCACCUGGGGGCAUCCCCGGGUGAGGAAAGCCUUCGGGCGCAGGUGGAGGGGCUCGCGGCCUAUCAGCUAGUUGGUGGGGUAACGGCCUACCAAGGCAACGACGGGUAGCUGGUCUGAGAGGAUGGCCAGCCACAUUGGGACUGCGACACGGCCCAGACUCCUACGGGAGGCAGCAGUGGGGAAUCUUGCGCAAUGGCCGAAAGGCUGACGCAGCGACGCCGCGUGUGGGAUGAAGCUCGUUCGGGUAGUAAACCACUGUUCGGCCCGGGAACGGAACGGGCGAAUUAACGUCCGGCCGUGACCGGUUACCGGGUGAGGAACGCCGACCGGACCUAACCGUCCCGGU